rnacentral:rRNA from 1 species
CACGUAGGAGGCGAGCGUUGUCCGGAAUCAUUGGGCGUAAAGAGCGCGCAGGCGGCUUGGCAAGUCGGGUGUGAAAUCCCGGGGCUCAACCCCGGGACUGCAUUCGAUACUGUCAGGCUAGAGGUAGGUAGGGGAGAUCGGAAUUCCUGGUGUAGCGGUGAAAUGCGCAGAUAUCAGGAGGAACACCGGUGGCGAAGGCGGCUCUCUGGGCCUACCCUGACGCUGAGGAGCGAAAGCGUGGGGAGCAAACCGG